rnacentral:lncRNA from 1 species
CCCUGUUGUUGCUGCCUUGGCCACUUUCCCUGGACUCAGGGGGCCUGGCCAGAGCUGCACAUGCCUGCCUGCCCCUGCCAGGAGCUCUCAGGCAGCCGAUGGUGUUCCUUGCUGCCAGUCUGUGCGCUGUUAGCCGCAAGUCUAGACAAUCCCCAAGAAUUUUACACUUGUGAAGGAGCCCGAAGGAUCCACGCUCUCAAUGCCUCCUUCGGUCUUCCUGGAGGAAUUCCUUCCUUGCAGCUCGGAGCGUGUCCACGUGGAGGUGAAUGGUCCACGGCAGGACUGAGCUGCCACCUCAAAGCCAAUGACAUGGGAGGACAGGCUCUCGAGAAGGCCAGGGACAGAGCUGCAGACAUACCCACCCUUCAGGACUUAGUGCCACCUCAGAGCCACCUUGGAGGCUGGACUGCUCCAUGGGGUAGGUGAGGUCCUGCCCGUGGCCCCAUGAGUG